CUCAAUGAAAGAGAUUUGGGGCCCUAUAUCAUAAAGCCCUACUAAAGCUAUCUCUAAAUUUAUGGACUUUGAUAGAGCCCCUAAAGCCCAAGCGAGUCCCACACUUUAAAAAGUUGCAGCAUACAUCAGGCUUUGUUUAAUGUUUUUGUUUUUGUUUUUUUAACAGCAUCCAAAUAAAAGGCUUUGUUUAAUGUUUUACUAUCCCUUUUGUUUUUUGUAUUUGGUUUUUUUUUUCUUUUUUUUUUCUUUUUUUGGUUUGAUAUUUCCUUCUCUAUUUUUUUUUUCUUUGUUUUUCCUUUCAAUUGUUAUAAUUUACUUUUAAAAUUACUACUUUAAUUUUUCUAUGUUUUUUUUUAAUUUUUUAAAAUUAUAAAUGGGAGUAGAAAUGUUGAAUUUUUAUUUUUUUAAAUUAUAAUUAUAAUUUACCUUUAGAAUUGCC
rnacentral:lncRNA from 1 species